GCAGAGAGCCUGAUGUGGGGUUCAAACUCAUGACCUGUGAGAUCAUGACCUGAGCCGAAGUCGGAUGCUUAACCAACUGAACCACCCAGGGACCCCUUUUUUAAACAGUCAACUGGACAAUCACGGGGCUUAUCUUAUCUCCCUUUUCUCACAGGUCACUGUCCUGUCCUACCUGUUGCCUGACAUUUAAAAACUACUUGUUCAUGUAUUUUUUCCAGUUUAAUUGGUGUGUGUUUUUUCAUCUGAGUCUGAAUUAGAAGCCUAGAAUAUUACAUAAGUUCCACAAGGACAGGAAUCUUUGUAUAUUUUGUUCCUUUAUUAUCCCAAAUAUCCAGACCUAUGCCCGGCAAAUUAGGUACUCAGUAAAUAAAUAUUAGUUGAAUAGAAUAUUUAUUGAGUAAGAUUGUUUGAGAACUCCUUCAGCAGUUAUCUGAGUGUCUACUUUGUGUCUGCCACUGAUCAUACAGUGGAUAAAGCAGAUACAGUUUCUGCCUUCAUAGAGCAUAGUGCCUAAAAGGAAAGACAUAUAUCAAACAGCAAAUAAAUAAACGACGCUUGUCAUUAUAAAUUGUGAGAAGCGCUUUUCUGCAAAUGGAAAGAACAGGGUGCUCUGAAAGAAUAUGAUGAGGGAAGUCAUUAUUGGAUGAAGCGGUCAGUAAAGACUCUUCAAAGAGGCAAUAUUUCAGCUGACUCCUAAAGGAAGAGAAGAAACCAGCCUAUGGAGAAAAUGGGGGAAAAAAAUACUCCGGGGAGUUGUAUAAAUGAAGCUCUAAGGCAUAAGAGAACUUGGAGCUUCCACAAAAUUAGGGAAGGCUUGUGUGGGGAAGGGAAGAAGGCCACACACAAAAUUGGAAAGAUGGGCAGGCCCAGAGCACGCAAGCUUCACAGGCUGUUUUAAGAUGUUUUUGUUCUCUACAAAGUAGAAUGACAGACUAUGAGAGGUUUUGACUAAGAGCGUGAUAUGAGCCCAUUUAUAUUUUUAAAUUAACUUCCUACCCGUAGUAUGGAAAAUGCUACUCUUGGCACAGUAGUCAAAGCAGGGAAUUCAUUUAGAACUGAGAUUCUUCAACUUUUCUGCCUUAGACCUGUUUGGUAGCUUCCUGAAGCAUAUGGUCUCCUCUUCAGAAUGUGUUCAAAUCACAAAGGAAAGUAAUCCUAUUGAAAUACAGUUUAUCAGAAUAUUUUUUAGAAAAAAACACUUGUGAUAAAGUUAUAUAUGUACUCCUUUAUUAACUGAUUAUAUAAGAUCUCAUAGUGGGUCUAUAAUUAUAAAGUAGAUGAACAUAAAUGAAAUGUUCAGAUGUUUGCAAUAGCUUGUAAUGUGAUGGAAAAUAUCUGAUUUCUAUGGGGAACCAAGUCAGAGGGUUAAUGCUACUGUUGUGUGUUGUCUACCUCUGGAAAUGUAAUGAAAAGAAAUGCUAAAUGAAAUGGAAAGAAAUGCUAAAUUUCCAUUUGAGGUUGGUGAAGAUAAAGAUGUAAUUUUUAUUAUUAAAGUUCACAGACCACCCCCUGAAUUCUAUCUGUUGAGCCUGUAUUCGUCUGUUUGAGCUGCUGUAAUGGAAUACCAUAGACUGGGUGGCUUAUAAACAACAGAAUCUUUUUCUCAUGGUUCUGGAGACUGGGAAGUCCAACAUCAAAGCACUGGCAGAUUCCAUGUCUGAUGAGAGCCUGCUUCCUGAUUCAUAGAUGGCAGACUUUGCACUAGGUUCUCACAUGGCAGAAGGGGUGAGGGAACUCUGGAAUCUCUCUCAUGUGAGCACUAACUCCAUGCAUGAGAACUCCAGAUUCCAUGACAUUGGGAAUUAAGUUUCAACAUAUACAUCUUGGAGGACACAAACAUUCAGUUUAUAGUAGACCCUUUGGGAAACCCAAAUUAAUCACUUUUUGUUUGAGAGGUUAUUUCUGGAAACAUGGAGAAAGAAGAUGGAGGCUUGAAUUAGGGCAGUCACAAUAGCAAUAAGGAAACAAAUUUGAGAUAUUUUCGGAGGAAUAAUCAACAAGACAGAAAAGAGAGAGAUUGCCUGUGGUUACUGGGAAAGUUUUGAUGGAAGUAGGCCUAAAGGUAUUUAAUGGAAAAGACAGGGUAGGCAAAAUCUUGGCAGGGAUAGUCAGAAAGCAAGAAGACUUUCCAGGCAGACUAUUUUUGCUGUGACUCAUUUUAAGUAAGGGAUAAGGAUGACACUAUGCAUUCUAAAGGAAGAGUAUUCAUAGGAUUAAGUCAGGAGCACUGAGACUCACUACUCAGCCACCCAUGAGCUGUGAGACCUAAGACAAACAACUACCUAAUGAAGCCUCAAAUUCACAUAUUGAAGAUGGGGAUAAUAAUAGCUUGUGACUCAUAAUAUUGUUGUAAGUAUUAAAUAAGAUACUGUAUGUAAAGCGGUUAGCACAUUUCUAACACAUAGCAAGAGCAGAUCAAUAAUAGCAAUUAUUCUCAUUCCUGCUAGGAUUCUGACAAUGUGUGGGACUAUCACCCACAGGAAAUUGCAAUCUGGUUAAGGAAACUCAGAUAAAACCCGUAAAAUAUUUUUAAAAAGAAACCAUUCAGAAUCAAGUGGUCAAAUAUAAGAUAUAUGCAACGCGGUUAGCUAUUAAUUUUUCUCAAUGUAGCACUUUUUGUUUAAUAAAAAGAUUUUGAAAACAUCUGCUUCACACAGGCAUACCUUGUUUUAUCGUGCAUUUUUAUUGCAUCUCUCAGAUACUGCAGUUUUUUUGUUUUUUUGUGUUUUUUUUUUUACAAACUGAAGGUUUUUGGCAACCCUGCCUUGAGCAAGUCUAUUUGUGUCAUUUUUCCAACAGCGUUUGCUCACUUCACGUCUCUGUGUCACAUUUUGGUAAUUCUUGCAAUAUUCCAAGCUUUUCCAUCAUUAUUAUAUUUGCUGUGGUGAUCUGUGAUCGGUGACUAUGACUUGCUCCAAGCUCAGAUGACGGUUAGCAUUUUUUAGCAUGAAGUAUUUUUUACUUAAAGUAUGUUCGCUGUUUUCUUAGGCAUAAAGCCACUACACACUUAUAGACUACAGGAUAGUGUAAACAUAACUUUUAUACGCCCUGGGAAACCAGAAUAUUCAUUUGACUCGCUUUAUUGUGGUAUCCACUUUAUUGCAUUGGUCUGGUAUGAAACCUGCAAUAUCUCUGAGGUAUGCCUGUGUUUGUAUGUGAACAUUGCAGAAUAGGGAUGGUGCUGGAUCUCUUCUUAACAAGUGAGUUUUAGAUAUGCCUGUUGCCUAGUCACCGCUGCCUACAGCUGAGCUCCUGUUUGGGGUAAUAAUGACCAUGGCUCAAACAAGUAAAAGGCACACACAUACAGUGAUUGAGAUUCAGUCUGAAAGUCUGUCCUUUGCUUUCAUUUAGAGGAGCUAAGAGAAGAACAAGUUGUUUCCUUUCAUUCUAUCAUAAUAGCAUUUCAUGAAGAUGCACAAAGAAUUUCAAUUUCAACCUUUGGAACUAGCCUUGCAUUUGAGUAGCUUCUAUGUGGAUAGCUGUGGCUUAAUGGCAAAGCAUCAGGUUCAGUUCUUUUUCUGCCAUGUGCUUUGCUAUAUGACAUUGGAAAACUCAAGCAAUCUGCUGAGCCUUAAUUUUUCACUUAUGAAAGGACAAUAACACUUCUUACCUCAGGAUAAUUGUGUAGAUCAACAGGGAAAAUGCAAUGUCUAAAACAUAGUAGGAGCAUAAUAAAAUCUUUUUAUAAGCAAUGUAAUAUCAAUUAAAGAGCAACGCUUGAAGCCAAAACCUGUAACAAGAGACAACGGUCAUUAUAUAAUGAUGAAGGGGGUCAAUCAUUAAGAGGAUAUAACCAUCAUAAACCUAUACAACAUUAGAGCACCUAAAUAUAUUGAGCAAAUAUUACCAGACCUGAUGAGAGAAAUAAACAACAAUAAAAUAAUAGUAGCGGGCUUUAGCAGCCCACUUUCAAAAAUGCAUAACUCACCCAGACAAAAAAUUGAUAAGGAAAUGUUGGACUUGAACUAUACUUUAGACUAAAUGGAUCUAAUAGGCAUAUACAGAACAUUCCAUCCAACAGCAGCAGGAUACAUGUUCUUCUUAAGUGUACAUGUUACAAUCUCUAAGACAGGACAAAUAAUAGGUCACAAAAUAAGUCUUAGCCAAUUUAA